GGUUCGAUUCCGGAGAGGGAGCCUGAGAAACGGCUACCACAUCCAAGGAAGGCAGCAGGCGCGCAAAUUACCCAAUCCCGGCACGGGGAGGUAGUGACGAAAAAUAACAAUACGGGACUCUUUUGAGACCCCGUAAUUGGAAUGAGUGUAUUCCAAAUCCUUUAACGAGGACCCAUUGGAGGGAAAGUCUGGUGCCAGCAGCCGC
rnacentral:rRNA from 1 species